GCUCCAGUGGCCUAGUGGUUGGAGCAUCCGCCUGGGAUGUGGGAGGUCAUGGGUUCAAACCCUGGCUGAGUCA